rnacentral:rRNA from 1 species
AUUGGGCGUAAAGCGCGCGCAGGCGGUCCUUUAAGUCUGAUGUGAAAGCCCACGGCUUAACCGUGGAGGGCCAUUGGAAACUGGGGGACUNGAGUACAGAAGAGGAGAGUGGAAUUCCACGUGUAGCGGUGAAAUGCGUAGAGAUGUGGAGGAACACCAGUGGCGAAGGCGACUCUCUGGUCUGUAACUGACGCUGAGGUGCGAAAGCGUGGNUAGCGAACAGGAUUAGAUACCCUGGUAGUCCACGCCGUAAACGAUGAGUGCUAGGUGUUAGGGGGUUUCCGCCUCUUAGUGCUGAAGUUAACGCAUUAAGCACUCCGCCUGGGGAGUACGGCCGCAAGGCUGAAACUCAAAAGAAUUGACGGGGACCCGCACAAGCGGUGGAGCAUGUGGUUUAAUUCGAAGCAACGCGAAGAACCUUACCAGGUCUUGACAUCCUCUGACGCCCCUAGAGAUAGGGAGUUCCCUUCGGGGACAGAGUGACAGGUGGUGCAUGGUUGUCGNCAGCUCGUGUCGUGAGAUGUUGGGUUAAGUCCCGCAACGAGCGCAACCCUUGAUCUUAGUNGCCAGCAUCUAGNUGGGCACUCUAAGGUGACUGCCGGUGACAAACCGGAGGAAGGUGGGGAUGACGUCAAAUCAUCAUGCCCCUUAUGACCUGGGCUACACACGUGCUACAAUGGAUGGAACAAAGGGCAGCGAAGCCGCGAGGCCAAGCAAAUCCCAU